AUGGUCCAUCACCGCGUGGUUGCAACUUGCACUUGCAUUGCUCAGGAAAAUGGUCCUUCUGAAGGUGUACCCAUACCAAAUCGCCUUGCUCGAACACCAGCUUCUUCCUGGUCUUAUUUACCCGCUUCGUAUAUUGUUCAGUCAUUUCUCAAUGUCCUCAUUUGCCUGGGCAUGAAGUUUCUUGAUGAAAUCAACAUGCUUACUUGCAUCAAGGCUGGCUCGUUCCUGCAGUGGCAAAGGCAAAAGAUCGAUGGGAGCAAUAGGUUUGAAUCCAUAAACAAGUUCAAAUGGGCAAAAUUUAGUGGUCGAAUGUACCGCCCUGUUAUACGCGAACUCCACAUGAGGUAG
rnacentral:rRNA from 1 species